rnacentral:rRNA from 1 species
AUGCAAGGGGGUUCCACCCAGCGGUCUCCAGCCGCCUCUAUAGCUAUAGCUCCGGCGGGCUGCAACCGUCGUACCACCUCUUCAGAGUGCUCCCGUUGGCCUGAACUCCUCCUGCUCAUUCCCAUGGACGUUGAGUUGAACGGCGAGAAGUUGUCAGCAAAAAGCUUCUCAGAUUACGUGCAACUGUAUAUUGACUCUGCUUUCAAAGAAGGAAUCGAGCUACCAAGAAUUUGCCAAAGGGUCAACGAUCGUUGGGAGGUGUGUGUGAGUCUAAGUGAAGGCCAGUUUCAGCAGGUCAGUUUUGUAAAUCAAAUUGAGACCAUAAGAGGCGGAACUCAUGUUGACUACGUUGCUGACCAAAUUGCCAAUCAUGUGCUGGGCGUUGUGAACAAGAAGCAUGCUAACAUGAAAUUGCAUACGGUGAAGGGCUACCUAUGGGUAUUUGUUAAUGUGCUCAUUGACAACCCUGCAUUUGAUUUACAGACCAAAGAGACCUUGAUCACUCAUCAAGGAUGCUUUGGUUCCAAGUGCGAGCUCUCUGAAGAUUUCCUUAACAAGGUCUCUAACUCAGGUGUUAUCAGCAAUCUGCUUAAUUCAGUUGAGUUCAGACUAAGCAAGGAACUAAAUAAGACUGAUGGAAGCAAGAGGACAAGUUUUCUUGCCAUCCAUAAGCUGGAAGAUGCAUAUGACGCUGGUGGGAGGGACUCUGAAAAGUGCACCUUGAUCCUUACUGAACGAGAUUCAGCAAAGGCUUUUGCUGACCAUGAUGGUUCCCACAUCAAAGGGUUGCUGCUCAAUUUCAUUCACUCAUCCUCGCCAUCUCUCCUCAAAGUUCCUUCUUUCUUGGUUGAGUUCAUCACUCCAAUUAUCAAGAUAACUAAUAACAUGAGCAGAUCUGUCAACUCAUUUUACUCAAUGCCAAACUAUGAAGCAUGGAAAGAGAAGUUAGGAGGAAAUUCAAGUUUGUGGUCUAUAAAGUACUACAAGGAACUUGGAACCUGCACAACGCAAGAAGGUCGGGAAUACUUUGAAGAUAUCGACCAUCACAAGAAGGAUUUUGUUUGGGCAGAUGACAAAGAUGGUGAAUGUAUUGAGUUACUAUUCAGCAAGGAAAGGAUCGCUGGGAGGAAGGAAUGGCAACACAUCAAGUACAGUGAUUUUAUCAACAAAGAGCUGAUCCUCUUUCCGAUGGCAGACCUUGCAUCCUAUGUACCUUCAAUGGUUGACGGCCUUAAACGAGGACAGAGGAAGGUUUUGUUUUGCUCAUUCAAGAGGAAUUUUGUUGAAGAAGCUUUUGUCACCGAGCUCAUUGGUUAUGCGUCAGAACACUCAGCAUAUAGUAAGCAGAGUCUAGCAAGCAUAAUUAUAGGAAUGGCUCAGGAUUUUGUUGGCAGCAAUAAUAUUAGUCUUUUGGAGCCCCAAGGCCAAUUGGGUGGAAAAGAUGCUGGCAGUACUAAGGACCUUUACACCAGAUUACCACCUGUCACCCGUUUAAUUUUUCCAAAGGAUGAUGAUAUUCUUCUGAACUAUUUGAAUGAAGAUGGACAGUCAAUUGAACCCAGUUGGUAUAUGCCAGUCAUUCCCAUGGUUUUGGUCAAUGGAAGUGAAGACAUGGGCACUGGCUACAUCCCCCUUUUCGAAAAAGAAAAAAAAAAUGGCUACGUCCCAAACUAUAACCCAAGAGACAUUAUUGCUAAUCUGAAAAGGAUGCUAAAUAAAGAGCCUGUUAUACCAAUGGACCCUUGGUACAAGGGGUUCCAGGGCUCAUUGACGAAGACAAGAUCAAAGGAAACUGGUGUGACAUAUACCAUCACUGGUGUUAUAGAGGAAGUUGAUUGCAGGAAGCUUCACAUUACUGAGCUUCCCGUCCGCUGCUGGACUGUAGAUUACGAACAUUUUCUGAAAUCCAUGUGUCCUCAUAAGGAGAAGGAAAAGGAGGGAUAUAGGUCGCGAUGUAGUCAUGCAGAUGUGUAUUUUAAGGUUAUACUGAGUGAGCAAAACAUGAAUGUUGCUAAGAAAGAAGGCCUUGAGAAGAAAUUCAAACUAAUAACCACAAUAGGAACAACAAUGUACUUGUUUGACUCACAUGGUAAAAUCAGAAAAUAUGACACCCCAGAAGACGUACUUAAAGAGUUCUUCCCACUGAGGCUCGAAUUCUAUGCCAGAAGAAAGUCUGUAAUGGUGGAAAAUAUCAGGAAAGAGGUGCUGAAGGUUAAGAAUAAAGUUUGGUUUAUUCUUGCUUAUAUUUCUAGGGACAUCAUUAUCAUUAACAGGAAGAGGGUAGAGCUAUUGCUGGAGCUGAAGCGGAAGGAGUAUCCUCCUUUCCCAGAGAAAAAACCCAUAGAAGAAAUAACUGACAACAGACUUGCUGAAGCUGCAGCAGGGGUUAAUGCAAGUGAUUAUCAUUAUCUUUUCGUUGCCUUGUUUACGGAGAAUGUGCCGGACCUCAUUGCGCAACAGGAGAAGUUAGAGGGCGAACUUGAAAGCCUGCUUAAUACAGAACCAGAAAUUCUUGAGAAGGAGCUGGAUACUGUCUUGCUGCUUCUAUCCUUCCAGAACCAAGUGCCAUGGAAGCUCAGACCAAAGAAGAACUGCAGAAAGGAAAGAACGAACCAAGCAAAAGACACGCUUUUCCGAGGAAGACAUGGAGGAGAAAAAGAGAAGGUGCAAAAGAUGAGGGGCUCCCCCUUCAACAAGAAGAGCGGCUCGGUUUUGCACAGAGUUGUGAGCGCUUCAACAGGAACACAAGAUGCCGAGGCACCUUGA